CGCAGCCCACAUCCCGUUCGUGAUCUUCUCCCGUUCGGAUCAAGGAACCAAUAUCGUGAUGACCUCCACGUUGAUUCCCAGACUUCAUCCUCCCGUGUUCCAAAGUCCACAACCUUCGGAAUAGAGCAGAGUCCAGCUCAUCUCCUCCACGUUGAUUCUCUCUCCAGAUUGCGUUUGUGAUCUAUCUUCAUCCCACGACCGCAUCAAAUCCCCUGCAUCUCGGAUUACAGGCUUAUCUCCUGCUUCGAAACCAACUCUCAUCCCCUGCUCCAUUAGAUUUCGCCCACAGGAUGAACACAAAUCCCAGCAAUCCUUCCUCCCAAACCGACCAAUCCUUAUCCCAACUAAAUUCCGCUAGCUCCCAGCCUUCCUGUCAUCAUCCACGAAUGAGUUCCAAGCAAGCUUCAUCUCAACUGUCAACCGAAUCCAAACUCCCUCCCAUACGGAUUAAUUCCAUUGACCACGGAAGAAUCCCUGUUCCUAUCUUCCCCGAGCUUAUCCGCCCAAGAUAAAUCCUAUCUAACCUUCAGAACCAUCUUCCCCUUCUUCCGUGAACCAACAACCACUCCUCCCAGCAAAUCUCGGCUUCCAUCUUCAUGGAUUGCAUCCCAGUUCCCCUAUUCCACAUCACCAGAUCGUAUUCCAUAUCAUCCUACCUCCCGAACCAAUCCAGCAUCUCUCCGGAUAGAUCCCAGCCUCCGAGAUCCUCUCACACGCCUGCGUCUUGCAUAAUCCUCUGUUCCCAGCCGUUCUCAGCUGCUCAACCGCAGAUCU
rnacentral:lncRNA from 1 species